GGGAAAUGGCAAACAAUUAGAAACCAGUGGUUACAUUUAAUAAAGUGAGGAAUCUUUGCAGGAAAGUGUUGAACCUACCAACUUAUCUACUGAGGGCGUGGGCUUGGGAUUUCCUGGUCUCUUGUUAAUGAGCCUUCACUUCCGGUGUCUCAGGAAGCUCCAGAUAAAGAACAUAGCAUAGAUACCUAUAACCAUGGUGCUAAUGCAUUAUAUUCUAUGGGUCUUUGAAACACGAUCUCUAGUAUUGGAGGGAAGGGAGACUGACAAAACAGAGAAGUGUGACGAUGUGCUGAAUGUCAGCAGGCUAGUUACUAUAGAGCAUCAUCCGGCCUGCACCAGUGCCCUUAGAGCAACUGUCUGCUGCGGGUUUCCUCCACCCGGCAGCCAGGAACAGGCUGUGAUAGUUUCUGGAGCAACUUCCUCUUUCUAAAGACUUUCAGCUAAAAGAGAUUCCCUGCACCUAAAUCCUGUGGGGAAGAGAGAAGACCACCCAGGAGUGCAGACAUCCUGGGACUGCAGGAUAGACUGCCACCUCUGCACACCUCGGCCCAUGUCCCUGGUCCAAGGGGAAACUGCACAGUGCCUCUGGACACAGGGAAAUAGGAACAGACAGCUGCCGGUACCCGUGGUUCUGUUCUGUGCCCAGGACUGAUCAGAAUUGGCCAAACAGCUCCCUGCACCCAAAUCCCACGGGGGAGAGAGCUAGACCCUCAGAAGUGUGGAUACUCCUAAGAAGUCAGAAGAGAAUACCCUCUGCCCACAGUCCAGACCCAAGAGGGAAUUGCCUAGUGACAACUGUGCCCCCUGAGUACAAGGACCUAGGAGCAAUCAGGGGCAGUACCCUUGAUUCCUGCCCACGCCUAGAGCUGGAAGACAGUCUCCAGAAGCACCGACACAGCUGAGAGCAGAGGGAAGACCCACUUUUCUGCUACCAAGUGAUUUGCCUGGUGGAUUCAGGAUACACAGAGGCAGAAGUCCUUUGGGUCAGGGCACUUCCUGUUUCUGGCUCUGCCUGGAAGUGAACUGAUACCAUCCCACAGUUCUUUGCAACCAAAUCCCAUGGGGGAGAGAGUUGGACCUUCAGAAGUGUGGAUACUCAGAGAAUACCCUCUGCCCACAGUCCAGACCGAAGAGGGAAUCACAUAGUGCCAACUGUGCCCACCGGGUGCAAGGACAACAUAAGCAAUCAGGGUCAGGACCCUUUGAUUUCUGCCCAUACCUAGAGCUGGACGACAGUCUCCAGGAGUGCCAAUACACCAGAAAUCAGACACCUGUUCUCAGGAAAGGCUGAAAGAAAACAGGAAAACAGUUCUACAGGAGUGCCGACACAGAGGGCUACAGCAGAGUCAGAAACAGCAAGACAAGCAAACACCAGAGACAACCCAAUGGCUAGAAGCAAGCACAGGAAACUAAGCAACAGAAAUCAAGACUACUUGGCAUCAUCAGAGCCCAGUUCUCCCACCAAAGAAAAUACUGGAUAUCCAAACAUACCAGAAAAGCAAGAUUUAGAUUUAAAAUCACAUUUUUUGAUAAUGAUGGAGGACAUUAAGAAAGACAUAAAGAACUCCCUUAAAGAAAUGCAGGAAAACACAAGUAAACAAGUAGAAGCCCUUAGAGAGGAAACACAGAAAUCCCUGAAAAAAUUACAGGAAAACACAACCAAACAGGUGAAUGAAUUGAAAA